AUGCACCACAUCUUUCUCCCAUUCUGGGUUAUUGUAUUUCUGCCCUACGCAGCGUCUCAGUCAACCCGGAAAGUCACCCAGUGGCCCCCGGUUGCUGUAGUGAGCCUGCGCCAGUCUGUAGAGAUGAAUUGCAACCAGAGUGCUUCUAAUAUCUACAUGUACUGGUAUCGACAGCAAAACUCCAGUGAGCUUCAACUGGUCUUUUCCUCUCCAUACGGCAGCGAUCCAGAAAAGGGUGAAAACAUCCCUGAUAGAUUUACUAUCUCCAGGACACAGAUGGAGAGAAUCACUCUAAAUAUAAAGAAUGCUGAGGCUGCAGACACUGGAGUGUAUUACUGUGCAGCUAGUGCCACAGUACACAAACCUAUCAGCCUUCCUGUCUGA